rnacentral:rRNA from 1 species
CAGUCGCCGCGGGAAUACGAAGGGGGCUAGCGUUGCUCGGAAUGACUGGGCGUAAAGGGCGCGUAGGCGGAAUGCUUUGUCGGGCGUGAAAUUCCAGGGCUUAACCUUGGGGCUGCGUUCGAGACGAGUAUUCUAGAGUGGAGAAGAGGGUCGUGGAAUUCCCAGUGUAGAGGUGAAAUUCGUAGAUAUUGGGAAGAACACCGGUGGCGAAGGCGGCGACCUGGUCUUUUACUGACGCUGAGGCGCGAAAGCGUGGGGAGCAAACGGGAUUAGAUACCCGCGUAGUCCCUGUCUCUUAUAC